GACGAACGCUGGCGGCGUGCCUAAUACAUGCAAGUCGAGCGGAAGUUGAAGAGCUUGCUCUUCAACUUUAGCGGCGGACGGGUGAGUAACACGUGGGCAACCUGCCCUGCAGAUCGGGAUAACUCCGGGAAACCGGUGCUAAUACCGAAUAGUUUUCGCCACCUCCUGGUGGCGUACGGAAAGACGGUUUCGGCUGUCACUGCAGGAUGGGCCCGCGGCGCAUUAGCUAGUUGGAGGGGUAAUGGCCCACCAAGGCGACGAUCAGUAGCCGGUCGGAGAGGACGAACGGCCACACUGGGACUGAGACACGGCCCAGACUCCUACGGGAGGCAGCAGUGGGGAAUCUUCCGCAAUGGACGAAAGUCUGACGGAGCGACGCCGCGUGGGUGAAGAAGGCCUUAGGGUCGUAAAGCCCUGUCAUUAGGGACGAAUGGCAGCAGGACUAAUAAGCCUGUUGUUUGACGGUACCUAAGGAGGAAGCCCCGGCUAACUACGUGCCAGCCGCCGCGGUAA
rnacentral:rRNA from 1 species